AUUGAACGCUGGCGGCAGGCCUAACACAUGCAAGUCGAGCGGCUGCAGGGAUGUUUCCCCUGGAUUCAGCGUCGCACGCGUGUGUAUAGUCUAUCAAUCCGCCUGCUAGUGUGGGAUAACGCCCGGCAACAGCCGCUAUUAUCGCACACGUCAUCUGCGACAGAGUGCGGGGUCCUCUCACCCCUCGCUCUCAGAUGUUCCGAGGUCGGAUUUGCUAGUUGUUGGGGUAAAGGCCUACCAAGGCGACGAUCAGUAACUGGUCUGAGAGGAUGAUCAGUCACACUGGGACUGAGACACGGCCCAGACUCCUACGGGAGGCAGCAGUGGGGAAUAUUGGACAAUGGGCGAAAGCCUGAUCCAGCAAUGCCGCGUGUGUGAAGAAGGACUUCGGAUUGUAAAGCACUUUAGGUUGGGAGGAAGGGCAUGGCGUUAAUACCGUGGGGGGAUGACGGUACCAGCAGAAUAAGCACCGGCUAACUACGUG
rnacentral:rRNA from 1 species